GCGGCUCGGCAUGUUUCUGUUUCGUCUCCCAGAUCAGAACAGAGCAGAAUUUAGACACAAACCAGAAUCUCACCCAUUUACCGGGAGAAAACAACAGUAAACGAGGUCGGAGAAACAGCCUCUGGGGUUCAGGAUGAGUGACGACGCCGACUCCCCUCCCGAGAGGGAGAUGAAGGACUUCCAGUUUCGUCAGAUGAAGAAAACUAGAGUUUUCAAGUCCCCUGAAGGUUUGCCAAAAGAAAGAUCCAAUCUGCUUGCCCUUUCAAACAAAUUUGGGCUAAUAUUUGUUGGGCUGGAGAGAACACUGAAAGUGUUCCUAACACAGGACAUCCUUACUUUUAAUAAAGUGGAAGGAAACGUCAACGAAAUAGAUGAGGGGAAAGCACCGCUGGCGGAGGUGUCUGUAGAUCUACAUCUGCACCAUUUGGCCCUGAGCUGCGAUGAACUUACUCUGUCAGUGUGUGGCAUGUCUGAGGAGGCUGGGCUGUCCAUGACAUUCUAUGAUGUCCGUACCCUCAUGAACAAGAUGAGAGCGCAGAAGUUACCUUUCACAUCUCUGCAGCCAGCAGUGGAAACAGGCACAUGUGUGCAGGACCUGAAGUGGAACCCUGUUCAGGCAUCCAUGUUGGCUGCCUGUCUGUCUGACGGCAGCAUGAUGAUUCUGGAUGUUUCUGACAGUGUCACAGUGCAGGCUGAGCUACCUGCCAUCCAUGGCAUCACAUGCAUUUGCUGGAGUCCUAAAGGAAAACAAGUGGCUGCUGGAAAAAUGAAUGCUACAGUCAGUCAGUACACUCCAGCGCUGCAAGAAAAGAAGGAAAUUCCCUGUCCAAACUUCUACAGCUCUGACAACCCUGUUAAAGUUCUGGAUGUGCUGUGGCUGAGGACUUAUGUGUUUGCGGUGGUAUAUGCUGCUGCAGACGGGUCCCCUGAGACCCCUCCUGACUUGGUGGUGAUCUCCCUGCCUAAAAAGGACGAUAAGACUGAGUUGAAGUAUCUGAACUUCGGUGACCUUGUGUACGGCAGCUGCACUGAGAGGCAGCACCACUACUUCCUCAGCCACAUCGAGGACUGGGAUGUUGUUUUUGCGGGAUCAGCAGCUUCCACUGAAGUCAGCGUCAUUGCCAGACAAGAGGAGAAGAACCUGUGGGAGCUUUGGAUGCUGGAGGACGCCAGCAGGGCUGAGCUGCCUGUGUCCCAGACCAGCGAUGACACUCUACCACUUGGCCUCGCCAUAGACUACACCAGCCAGCAUGAGAUCUCCAUCUCUGAUGAGAAGACAUUGCCCCCAGCCCCAAUCAUGCUGCUGCUGUCCACAGACGGAGUACUCUGCCCAUUUUCCCUUCUCAACCUCAACCCUGGAACCAAGCAGCUGGUUUCUGCCCCUAGCAUUUUGGCCCUGGAAGGAGAGAGACUGCCCACAGCAAGUUCCUCGGCUCCUCCACCUCUCAAACCUGCUGCCUCCCUCCCAUCUGCCCCAGUGGCAUUUCCAGCCCUGUGUCCUACUUCGGCUGCUUCUUCGACACCUCCUCCCCCCGCUGCCUCAUCUGCUGCUGCCCCAUUCACCAUUGCUACUACAGCUUCUAUGUCUUCAUCAUUUUCAUCGUCAGGCUUCUCCUUCUCCCUCCCACCUUCCACUUCCACCUCUAGCUCAGCUACUCCAGCUUUCUCCCUGGGGGGACCUACAAUUUUUGGUUCAGGCUAUUCCUCCAGCUUUUCCUUUGCCUCCAAGCCUCCCGCUGACACACAUUCAGCACCCUCAGCAUUUUCUUUCAGUGGCCCUUCCAUCAAACCUCCAGCAGAGGCAGCUCCAGCUCCAGCUCCGGCUCCGGCUCCGGCACCAGCACCUCAGAGUGUUUCUGCUGCCCCCCCUCUUUCUGCACGGAGGGAUACUCCAGAGAGUGCCACACCUGCUGUGAAGCUAAAUCUCAAUGAGAGGUUCUCAGCAGUGGAGACCCCAGCACCACCCACCCAGUCUUUCUCCUUCAGCUCCUCUACACCUAAACCAGUCGUCUCUGAUUCUAGCAGUUUCACCGCCGCUCAGCCCUCAGCCACCAAGCCAGCUCCAGUGCGGCCUGUCCAUGCCAACACACCACCUGCAGUCCAGAAACCCUCUUCGGCAUCCCAGUGUCCUGCUCCCACUCCACAGGCAGCUCUCAGUGUGAAGUCCCUGGAGAAGCAGCUUCAACAGAAGAAAGACACUGACCCCAUCAUGGCCGGUUUGCUGGAAGAGAUUGCACACCUCCAGAAGGAGCUGGAUGAUCUCAAAGCUCGAAGCGUUAAGGCUGACUUCAAGGUUGGCACUAGUGAGGAGAUGGAGCAGCUGAAGAAUGAGUCAGAGGACUUCCGUGCUUUCACCUUGGAAAUCAAGGACACAACAGAGUCUCUUCACGGUGAUAUUGGCACACUGAGGACCAUCUUACUGGAGGGCUUUGCUGGGGCAGGGGAGGCAAAGGUCCAGAGUGAGCUCAGCAAGGACAGAUUAUACCUGCAACUGCUGCACAAGAAACCCCUGGACCCUCGCAGGGAAGAACAGCUUAAGGAGAUCCGUAGGCUGUACCAGUAUGUUACGUUUGCUGUUGAGGAUGUCAAUGGUGUCCUGGAUGUGGAAUGGGAGAAACACUUGGAGAAGAAAAAGCAGAAACGUAUGGUGGUCCCUGGGCGUCAGGCUCUGUUCACCACGCUGGCCAACAACCUGUACAUUAUCAAGCAGCAGAAGAGCAGGCUGGAUCAGCUGAUCAGGGAGCUCACUUCACUGCGCCUCUACAACAGGACCUCCACUUGGAGCACUGCUCCCCAAGCUACAAACAUCCACACUGCUGCAGCGACACCUGCUGGUUUGGACAGUGAGCUGGAGAGUUUGAGGGAUGCACUCCUGAAAGCCAAGCUAGAGGUCAACCCUCCCAAGGUCAAAUCUCUAGUCAAGAUAUCACCGGUUAAACAGUCUCAGCUGCGCAACUUCCUCUCCAAGGGCCAGAUGCCUCCUGUCCGUGCCACUGCACCAGCCAACCUGUCUCGCUCGGCCUUCCUGUCACCCAAAUACUAUGAAGACUUGGAUGAUGUGAGCUCUACGUCCUCCCUGUCUCAGUCUCUGGAGCCUCACCCAGCCCACUUGGAGUUGGAGGAGGAGGAGGAGCUGGAACCAGAGCCCCUCCCCUUGCCCAUUACUAGCUCAACACUGGCCAACGCCCGCCAUCCCACGGUGGUGAGGACUCCUUCCAUCCAGCCUGGACUGUCAUCUGUACAGUCCACCCCGAUUAUUACGAAGAUUCACCCCAGUCUGGUCAUGGGCCCAGGACUUAGUCCCAUUCCCGCUGCGGUUCCAGCCAAUAAGAUCAACCUUGGCGGGGCUGAGAGCACAGCACUUGCCACUAAAACAGUGAAACAUGGGGCUCCACCAACCGAGAGAGCUGUGCCCGUCACUGUCUCUGCCCAACAAGCUGCAGGCACUGCUGCUCUUCGUAGGCAGAUGGCCAGUCAGAAGCCAGCUGCAGUCAGCACUUCCCUGACAGAGUCGACUCUGAAGACGGUUCCUCAGGUUGUCAAUGUUCAGGAGCUGAAGGACAAAGGACCUCCCAUGCCUGUUUCCACUGUCAUCAGUUCCUCAGUCCCAGCUCCAGCAGCUCAGGUGAUUCAGCAAGUCUUGGCAACAGUGGCCUCCAACCAGGCCAAACGUAAUACCACCCAAGGUAUCAUGAAGGUGUCCACAGAAAGCGCAACUACCCCACAGGCAAGCUUCGUUUUCGGCGGACCACCUAAAGCAGAUGUUAGUGUGAUUCCCACUAACUCAGCAGAACAAAACAGCAGUAAAGGUUUCUCCUUCACUCCAGCCUCCACAAGCUUCAAUUUUACCUCAGUCUCUCAGGCAACUGGAAUCUCACAAGUGAAAGAUGUCAGUAAAUUCUCCUUUAGUGGAAGUGGCAAGAUGAUGUUUGGCCAGACAGGGGAGGAGCCAUUCUCCCUCACCCCCAAAUCCACUUCCCCUGCCCUUGGGACUGGUUCCCCCACCCCACCUCCUAACAUGUCAAGCGAGCCAGUCAGACCAUCUUCCACCACACCCGCCCUUAGGGUUGAGCCCCAGCCCCCUAAAGCAAUUGGAGGAGAGACUUUGGGUAGUUUCUCUGGACUACGCGUGGGCCAGGGAGAAGAGGCUAAAGAUGCUUCUGCCAAACCCACUGCUGCCACAUUUAGCUUUGGGGACAAUGGACUUGGUCUAGGCAAGGGAGCAACACAGUUCAGCUUUGGUGCAUCUGUGCAGAAGCCCACUGAAGAUUGUACGGGCACCGACUUGUCCAAGGGGGCAGUGACGGCGAGUUCAGGCAGUGUCUUCAAGCCUCCGGAUUCAAACACUAAGCUGCCUUUCUCCAUUCCCCAGUCGAGUUCAACUGCAUCAGCUUUACCUACAUCUUUCAGUGGGCUCCUUGCAGCCCCUCUAGACUCUCCAGAGGAACCUAAAGCUCCCAUACAGGCUUUGGAUCCUACCCCACCCCCUGAACCAGAGCCCACCCCUGAGCCCACUGUAGAGAGUCAGAGUCAGAGAGUCAGCCCCCCUGUUACAGCUGAGCCAAGCCUUACAGCAAACACAGCCACCACAGAACCUGCAGCAAGUACAGUUAAAGUCCCAACACCCCCAGCCAUUACACCCUCCCCUGCCCCUACACCAGUCCCUCCUGCCUCCAUCAACCCACCAGCUGAAGCAACCCCUCCAACUCCAGCCGCUGUUCCACCCACAAUAGAAACCACCUCAGACACCACCCCUGCUCCUGCACCCCCACCAGCCACAGUCACCUCUUCUCUAGAGGUUGUCUCUCAGCCAGCCCCACCAGCUUUUCAGGCACCCAGUUCUGACAAACCAGGUUCCAUCUUUACUCAGCCUGCUCCUGCAACAACAGAAAGCAGUUGCAUUGGAGUAACACCAGUUAUCAACACCGCUGCCCCCACAGCCACGACUCAGACCGCUAACGCCACAGCCACCUCUGCUAGCAGUGUGUUUGGGCAAUCUGCUGUAGCCCCAGCGUCCUCAGCUCCAGCAGCUACAGGAUUUGGCUCAAGUGGGUUUGGUACAUCCUCUGGAACUGGUUUUGGUAAACCCACAUUUGGCCAGGUGAGCGGCUUUGGCCAGCCUUCAAGCAACACCGGCACAUCCAGCAGCUUUUCUUUUGGCCAGCCAGCGUUUGGAGCAAGCUCCAGUAGUGCUACCACAGGAGGCAGUGGCAAUCUAUUUGGCGCUUCCACUGCUAGCAAUGCCAGCUCAUUCUCAUUCGGCACGAGCAGUGCUAACACAGCCAGCAGCUCUGGCAUGGGGCUGUUUGGGCAAAGCACCACGCCAGCAUUUGGACAGCAGAGCUCCGGAUUUGGACAAGGUUCUGUGUUUGGAAGUAACACUAUCACAACUUCAUCUACAGGAUUCAGCUUUGGGCAGCCCUCAGCUUUCGGCAACUCCUCCACCACCUCAGUGUUUGGCCAACAACCUAGUGGUGGAAAUGUGUUUGGACAGCAGCAGUCGUCUGGCGGGGGGCUGUUUGGUUCAGGUUCAGCGAAUACAGCCGGCUCCUCUGCUGGUGGAGUCUUCUUCAGUGGCCUCGGGGGGAAACCCAGCGAAGACGCUGCCAACAAGAACCCAUUCGGUGCCACUGCCUCCACCGGAGGUUUCGGGCAGGCUAGCCAGACAGGUGCCAGCCUAUUUGGGAACAGUGGCGCUAAGAGCUUUGGUUUUGGACAGUCUUCUUUUGGAGAGCAGAAACCUAGUGGGACCUUCAGCACUGGAGCAGGGAGUGUCGCAUCUCAAGGCUUUGGCUCCUUCUCUUCCCCAGCAAAACCAGGUGGUUUUGGCAGUGCUCCAGUGUUCGGCAGUCCCCCUUCCUUUGGUGGCUCUCCAGCGUUUGGUGGUGCCGCAGCGUUUGGUUCAGGCCCCUCCUUCAGCAGUGCCAUGGCCUCCCCGGCUGGUAAGGUGUUUGGAGAGGGCACGGCAGCUGCCAACGUGGGAGGAUUUGGGUUCGCCUCACCACAAAGCGCCCCCUCCUUUGGUUCUCUAGCCAAUCAGAACCCUCCGUCAUUUGGGAGCCUGGCCCAGCAGGGCCCUGGGUUUGCCGCCCAGCCCAGCAGCUUCUCAGGCUUUGGCCAGCAGCCCCAAGGUGGAGCAUUUUCUGGAGGCAGUUUUGGAUCCUCAAAUCAACCAAAAUUCUUGUAUUGAUUGACUACUGCAGAAGGUCCAGACUGUGCUGGAGGAAAUAAGCUAAUUCUUGGUCAGCUUCUCAAACGUUUGCUGGUUGGAGGAGCUAGUUUUAUGAAAGCUCCAUGUCCAGCGCUGCUGUGCUCUCUGCAGUCAAGCUCUAUGUGCCACACGUAGAGGGAAUGUAAUGGAGAGGGAAGAUCCUGUUGCAUGGGAGUGGAAGGGCUGAUUAAAGCAAACCUCUGGGAUCAGAAACCUAAUUCUCUCCUAGCUGAUCAGAGUAUUUGUUUAGGAUUAAGCUAAAUAUGCAUUCAUUCUUAUCUUUAUUAACUGAAGGACUGCAGAUACUUACAAUGGCACCGUUUAUUCACAGCUUUCUGCAAAGCCUGAAAUAGGACGAAUCGUAAAACAUGAUCAGGAGCUGUUAAUGUGGUUGCAUUGUUGAGUGUUUCAAAAGUUCCCAUGCACGGCUUGCAGAAACGUGCAUCAUCCUAAUGCCAUAUUUCUUAUGCAUGUCUUAGUCUUAGAGUUGGAAACAUUCAUACUGUCUUCUAGAUCCAUCAUGAAUCCAAAAAGUUUGAUAUUCUUUGCACUUUGCUUCAAGGAAAAGUUCAACAUCUUACUUUUUACACCAUAAUGGGAAGAAUUGUGGUUUUAGAUGAAAAAAAAAAGUAUAUUUUCUUUCUUAAAAAGGUUUUUGCAGUAAACCCCAUGAUGUAUAUUUUUAAUUGAAAUUUGGAAAUAAAUGUGGUGUUUCUCAAACUGA